rnacentral:rRNA from 1 species
AGUGAACGCUGGCGGUAGGCCUAACACAUGCAAGUCGAACGGCAGCACAGUAAGAGCUUGCUCUUACGGGUGGCGAGUGGCGGACGGGUGAGGAAUACAUCGGAAUCUACUUUUUCGUGGGGGAUAACGUAGGUAAACUUACGCUAAUACCGCAUACGACCUACGGGUGAAAGCAGGGGAUCAUCGCACCUUGCGCGAUUGAAUGCGCCGAUGUCGGAUUAGCUAGUUGGCGGGGUAAAGGCCCACCAAGGCGACGAUCCGUAGCUGGUCUGAGAGGAUGAUCAGCCACACUGGAACUGAGACACGGUCCAGACUCCUAAGGGAGGCAGCAGUGGGGAAUAUUGGACAAUGGGCGCAAGCCUGAUCCAGCCAUACCGCGUGGGUGAAGAAGGCGUUCGGGUUGUAAAGACCUUUUGUUGGGAAAGAAAAGCAGCAGGUUAAUACCCAGCUGUUCUGACGGUACCCAAAGAAUAAGCACCGGCUAACUUCGUG